AUUGAACGCUGGCGGCAGGCUUAACACAUGCAAGUCGAGCGGUGUGAUGGUGCUUGCACUAUCACUUAGCGGCGGACGGGUGAGUAAUGCUUAGGAAUCUGCCAUUUAGUGGGGGACAACACUCCGAAAGGAAUGCUAAUACCGCAUACGUCCUACGGGAGAAAGCAGGGGAUCUUCGGACCUUGCGCUAAAUGAUGAGCCUAAGUCGGAUUAGCUAGUUGGUGGGGUAAAGGCCUACCAAGGCGACGAUCUGUAGCGGGUCUGAGAGGAUGUUCCGCCACAAUGGGACUAAGACAGGGCCGAGACUCCUACGGGAGGCAGCAGGGGGGAAUAUUGGACAAUGGGCGGAAGCCUGAUCCAGCCAUGCCGGGUGUGUGAAGAAGGCCUUUUGGUUGUAAAGCACUUUAAGCGAGGAGGAGGCUCUCCUAGUUAAUACCUAGGAAGAGUGGACGUUACUCGCAGAAUAAGCACCGGCUAACUCUGUGCCAGCCGCCGCGGUAAUAC
rnacentral:rRNA from 1 species